rnacentral:lncRNA from 1 species
UAAUUUGAUGUUUGUUACCUGAAAUUAUCAGCAUAGUUUCGAUUAAUUAUGAUUCUUGCUUUGGUUCUUUGUAUGGUGUCUGCCAACUACUUAUAUGAGUGCCCAAAUUUUUUCCAUCCAUGGAGGUCUCAUGAUUAUGAGAGUAUUCAAUCCUACAUAGGAUAUGAGUUAGGCACAGGUAUGAUGUGCUAUCAUUCAAAAAGUUUUUAUCCAGUUUGGGUGUAACAAAUCACCUGACUUGCAAUUUGAAUCCAGCACUUCUUGACAUUUGGUUGACAUUUCGAAGCCUACCGUACUCUAAAAUUUUCGACCCAAAUACAAUAUAGGCUGGGUCAAGUUGAGUCAGUCCACCCAAGAAAAUUUUGAGCUGGUUGGGACUUUAGUUGUAGAAAUAUUAGUGAAGUUUGUUUUUUUUGAUCAGGUCAGGAGCUUUACGUAGAGUCAGACUUGGGCAUGGUGUGCUACCAUUAGAAACUUGGGUUUGGUUGGGUGUUGUCAGUUCACCGAUGCUCUCAACCUAAACCUGACUAGACUUGAGAUUUGGUUGACAUUAUUGCACCCAAGUCCAACUUAAGUUAGGUAUCUGUUGGCGUAACCCAGUCCAAAAUACCGGUUUGAGUUAAUCCAACCUAAGUAGCUUUCACCAUAUAGGUUUCUUUUGGUUUCUGGCGUAUCGUGGAACCUUCGUAGUUAGUUGCCUCUAAAUCACUGCCAUAAUACUAAACAGUCAGUGUCAACUAUCAAGCAACUAUUAUCUGUUAAACUAUCUGUUGCUAUCAACUGUUUACUAUUAUAUAUAAAACACAAUAAUGGUAAUCUAUCUAGCGGAUUUCAAGUUAGAACAUGCUGGUUGUUACUCUUCUAUAAACAUACUCAGAAUGUAGGAUACAUCACAAAAAUUUGAAUAUCAUUCUCAUGUGAGAAGUGCAUUGCUAAGGACUAUACUAGUGAUGCAGCUUAACAAAAUCUAAGCAAUGAUUAAUAUUAUCAUGUCAUUAUGAGACAAAUAUACUAUAUCGAGCUGAUGCCUAUGUUCUUUCUUAUAAUUGCCAGAAUAAACUUAUUGAAGCUCAACUGACAGAAUUUUCAUAGUUAGUAUUUUGGCAUGAAAUUUACGAGCUUAUUUUUAUAAGCCAAAUUUGACUUUUGGCUCGGCCGAGACUGAACCGAAAGUGAACCCCAGUUUCGGGUGCCAGUCAUGUUUUGACGGAAAGUCUGAAACUGACUAGUUUUGGUGUUUUCCACUCGUUUGAGCUGAAAUUCACCAAAACAGCCCAUAAAUGUGUUUCCUGGUCAUUUUUUUGGUGCCUAAUGUUAUGUUCUGGUGGGUUUUUAAAAUAUUUUAGUACAUAGACCAUUAAAUAUCAACUUUCAAUGAUUUCAAAGAUGGAGAACAUAAUCCUUGAUGGGUUGAUACCUCUGAGAAGGCCCCUUAAUAUAUUACUUUAUAAAUAAUAGAGAACUAAAUGCAAGAUGUUUCAUAGCCAUAAUAUAUUUUUUAUAUAAAAGAAAAAACACUAUAAUUACAUGCAUUUGAUUAAGUAGCCACUUAACCUAAAAAAUAUGCAAGAAAUAUCAAAGUUUAAUAUACUUGUGAAUUUUUUUUAGGUGAAGAAAGUGAAAAGCUUCAUAAGUAAUAUUUUUUGAACAAUUAAAGUUCAAGAAGCAAAUGAUAAUUAUUCACAGUACAGAAUACAGCAUAUUUAAUGAAUUCACUUAUAAGUAAUGCAUAUUAUCUACAUGUAUAUAUAUAUUGUGAAAUAGGAUGGAAAAGCUUCUGGCCGAAAUCAGGGUGAGGGUAGGACUUGAACCCAGGUCCUUGGUGCCAACCUCCUAAGACUUACCAAGUGCACUAGAUGGCACCAUCUCACUUAUAGGUAAUACUAGCUUUAGCUUAAAAUUGGCAAAACUACACAAAUAAAGAAUACUUAAAUGUUGUGCAUUAAUUUUUCUUGGUUUUUUUUAUUCUUUUCCUUUUUUAAAACUUUAAAAAAUGAAGACUCUGAAACUAGGAGCAAAACUUCUGAAACCGUCAAAAUUGCUGAAACCAACACUCCACGAACCCAAUCGAAAUUGAAAGCUAAACCAUGUUUUUGAACAUUGUUAUGAGCUAUUCCUCAAUUGACCUCAUGUAUUUGUACCUCUCAAUCUGCUUGUCCAAAUGAGCCAUUUGUUCCCAUCCAUUAUCAAUGUCUUUAAGCCUAAGUUGUCUUGUAGUUAUGCACGUCAAGGUCAAAUGCGGAAUUUACUGCAGCAUUGCAACCGUCACAAUCAUCAUAAUGGGGUACCUUAACCUGCUAAGCAUGUCUACCCUAUGCCCUUUCCAAUCUUAAAAUGGCUGGUGCCAUCAUGACUGAGCCCGGCCCUCUCAUUUGCAUACCUUGUUGUAGUAACUUAUCUAACCACUUGUUGUAUGUUGAUUAGUAGUUUAAUCUUUUAUCUUGAUCCAUUCUCAAUGGAUCUUCAUCAUGAAAGACAUGCUUAAGUGAAUCACUAAGGUGAUGCAGAUGGCUUUGCAAAGUCAUGAGCGACCUAAAUUCCCAGUGUGAAAAAUACUCUGUUGAAUUCUGUCCUGUUGCAGAAAAGGGGACAAAAUGUAAAUGGACUACACUUAACCAUGAAGUUCAAGAAAGAUGACAUGGAUGAUCAAAAAAUUAUGCAUUUUGAUGAAUAGCUAGUUUGGAAAGGAUAGACCUUAGUUGCAGAAUCGACUGGAGGUGAGGGGGCAGGGAAGUGGAUGUUUUAGAAGCACUUUUAGUAAGGAAGCGUUUAGGAAACAGGUGCCUGUUCUAAUGUUACUUGGACACUCAUGUCUAGCUCUAAUCUGUGUUGGAUACGUAUCUCAAUUGAAUAUGCGUUGGAUACUUGGAUGCUUGGAAGUUUUUUGGUAGCCAUUUUUGAAGAUUGAUGAGAGUUGAACUCUUCCAACAAUGUGUCAGUUGUACCCUUCCAGAGUAGUAAUUCUUUUUCAAGAUUCUGAACCAGAUGCAUGGCCCUGGGUAGAAGAUUUCUGCUACUAAGAGUUAGGCACCAAUGGAAGGAUGAGGGAUCCUAUUUUUGUUGCAUUGUGAUAUAACAACUGGUUUGACUCGAGACCAAAGCUGUGGUUUUUGCUAGAUUAGAGAGCUACAACAGAUAAUGGUUUAUAAAUUUGUAAACAGUGGUAAUGACUAGCAACUAUAAAUAAGAUUAUUUGGAGUGUUCUCACUUUUGACAAUAACUUUGGCAAUGCCUAGAUUAUGAACUUCAAUCUACUAAUCUCUACCAUCUCCCCUUGCCCCUCCCCCUUUUAAAAAAAAAAGGAAAAGGAAAACUCUCUCUCUCUCUCUCUCUACUCUCUCUCUCUNNNNNNNNNNNNNNNNNNNNCCCUUCCGUCCCUCCCCCUUUAAAAAACCCGUUAAAAAAACGGUAAAAACGUAAACUACUCUCUCUCUCUCUCUCUCUCUCUCUCUCUCUUACACACACACAGACACAGAGAGAGAGAGAGGUUUGGGUUUCAGCAAAUUCAGAUACCGAGUUGCAUUAUACCUUCUAUUUAGUGAUGCUUGCUAAGCAGUCUCUAAAUAGAAUUUUAGCUGGAGUUCUUUGACCGCUAUGUUGCUUUAUCUUUUUAAUGUUGACUCAAUUGUCAAUGAUAUAAUACUGAUUGAGGAAUUUGGUAGGUGAACUCAUUUCUGAGUUUUAGAGGACCUACCUUGAGAUCCUUUUAGGCAUAUCGUUCAUCGAAGGAUGUUGUCCAAGCUUUGGUUUUGCACAAAAGUGUGGUAGAAUAGGAUGAUGUUGUAAAUUCCGCUGUAUCUGUCUUUCAUUCUGUAGAACUUUACUGGUAGUGCGAAUUAUCUGCUGUAGCUUCUAUGGGUUUUACUAGCAUAAAGGUUUUUUUUUCAUGACAGUGAUCAUAUGAUUGCAUAGUGGUUCAACAAUGCAAAUGUCUAUAUUUCUUUUCCUCAAAAGUGGCUCAACAUGCAAUUAGAUGUCUAAUUAUAUU